rnacentral:tRNA from 1 species
ACUAUUUUGACAGAGAAAUGUGAUGAUUUUAGAAAUCAUUUAUAUAUAAAAUAUUAAUUAUAUAAAUAGUA